GGGUUGUCAUGCCAAUGGCACUGCCCGGUAGCUAAAUGCGGAAGAGAUAAGUGCUGAAAGCAUCUAAGCACGAAACUUGCCCCGAGAUGAGUUCUCCCUGAGACUAUAAGUCUCCUGAAGGAACGUUAAAGACGAUGACGUUGAUAGGCCGGGUGUGUAAGCGCAGCGAUGCGUUGAGCUAACCGGUACUAAUGAACCGUGAGGCUUAACCGUACACCGCCGAA
rnacentral:rRNA from 1 species